rnacentral:rRNA from 1 species
GAUGAACGCUGGCGGCGUGCCUAAUACAUGCAAGUCGAGCGAACAGAUGAGGAGCUUGCUCCUCUGACGUUAGCGGCGGACGGGUGAGUAACACGUGGAUAACCUACCUAUAAGACUGGGAUAACUUCGGGAAACCGGAGCUAAUACCGGAUAAUAUAUUGAACCGCAUGGUUCAAUAGUGAAAGACGGUUUUGCUGUCACUUAUAGAUGGAUCCGCGCCGCAUUAGCUAGUUGGUAAGGUAACGGCUUACCAAGGCAACGAUGCGUAGCCGACCUGAGAGGGUGAUCGGCCACACUGGAACUGAGACACGGUCCAGACUCCUACGGGAGGCAGCAGUAGGGAAUCUUCCGCAAUGGGCGAAAGCCUGAUGGAGCAACGCCGCGUGAGUGAUGAAGGUCUUCGGAUCGUAAAACUCUGUUAUUAGGGAAGAACAAAUAUGUAAGUAACUAUGCACGUCUUGACGGUACCUAAUCAGAAAGCCACGGCUAACUACGUG